GCCUUGAGGAAGGGCAGUAGCUCAGUGGUAGAGCAUCUGCUCUGCAGGCAGAAGGUCCCUAGUUCAAUCCUCAAUAGGACU